UACGUAGGGGGCAAGCGUUGUCCGGAAUCAUUGGGCGUAAAGCGCGUGUAGGCGACCCGAUAAGUCCGCUGUGAAAGUCCAGGGCUCAACCCUGGGAUGCCGGUGGAUACUGUCGGGCUCGAGUCCGGAAGAGGCGAGUGGAAUUCCUGGUGUAGCGGUGAAAUGCGCAGAUAUCGGGAGGAACACCAAUGGCGAAGGCAGCUCGCUGGGACGUGACCGACGCUGAGACGCGAAAGCGUGGGGAGCAAACAGG
rnacentral:rRNA from 1 species